rnacentral:lncRNA from 1 species
CUCCACAGGGACACAGCUAAAAUCACAACAAACUGCAUAAGGGCAGAGAAGAAUGGAAGGAAACACUUGAACCAGUUUUUCUGCCAAAGAAAAUGUCCAUGUGAUGACAUCGUCUUGAUAUAGAAUCAGCGCAUGAGAUUGCCUUGGAGAAGGCUGGGGAAGAUGUUUGGGCCCUUAUUAAAGCUGCAUGGACAUAAAUAGAUAUGCAGGAGUACAGCUUGUGGUCUAUGUUUCAUCCCAAUAUUACCUGACUGGUCCACAAAGAAAAGCAGAUGUGAACACAAGGUUUGUCCAAACUCCCUUUCCAAGCACUGCUUCCAGCCUGCUGAGGAGGCACUUUUUUGUUUUGAAAGAGCUGAGCCAAGCCCCAGUAUUGCAGAACUGAAGCUCCUGAGGUGGGUUUUUGUUGCAGGGUUUUGAUGUUGUAUCUGCCUAAGCUGACAGAGGAGUCCCCUUCUCUCCACAAACCAGUGCCAGCUUUCCUGCCCCACUGAGUGCUGUGCAGGAACAGGCUCCCACCCAAACAGGACCAGUGCUG